rnacentral:lncRNA from 1 species
UAAACAGUGAGACAUCUAGUUGAGUUGAUGUGGCUGCAAAGGAGGAAAAACAGGGAGACUAAGAAAAAGAAGUGAGUUUUAUGGAGCAAUUUGAAGGGGGAAAAAGGAGAGUGAAAAAUGUGAGCUAUUUCAAGAAGCAUACAAGAAAAGUUACCAAACCGAGAGGUCAAAACACAAACAAAAGGAGCAUUGAGGAGAGUCUCCCAGGAGAAGAAAGAACUCGAUGAGAUUCCCUGCUUGCAUCUUUUGGUUGGAAAGAUGAGAGGCAGGGAUGUCCAAGCAAAGAAAACCUUAAUGGUCAUGGAUGAAGGUGACACGGUCAUGGACUAGUGAUUAAUUUCUGGAGAAGAGAAAAAGACAGCAAUUGGAAGUGGGAGAAGACUUGGAUGAAUGAGAAGAAGACUUGAAUGAGAAGAGAAGGGAAAAGGAAUUGAGAGUUCAGAUGGUGACGUUUUAUCACGGGUCGAGGGAGCUGGCCGUUUCUGUCAGGUUUGCUGAAUUUUACAUCACCUGCCAGAACUGUACAUAUGGGAUGGUCCGUUCACAGCGGCUCCCCACCACUACUCUCCCUGUCUCCUGCCAGCAUCCCCACCCUCGGCCUCUGAUCCCUCCUUCCUCUGUUGUGCACCCCUGCUCUCCUCCUUCCGUGGACGCCUCGGUCCUUGACUCUUCAGAAAGAUCUAUGUGGCUUGGAUGUGAAUAGAAGAGAAGAUGUGAAGAAGGUAGGAGAGAGGACGACUCCUGUUCUGCCACCCUGGCCACUUCUCAACGGCUCUGCUCCAACCAGCUCUUCUUCACCGUCUUUAAAGUCCUGUCUCUACUGCACAAUGUGGAUGUGCUCAGAGGAUGUUAGCGUGGAUCCCUCUUCACAAAGCUCUCUCCAGUUCUCGCCGUGAUGGUGAAAUAGUGUCUUGCGACUCAUUGUCCGUGGACCAGCAACAGCGCCAUCACCUGGGAGCUUGUUAGAAACGCAGAAUCUCAGGACGCUCCUCAGAAUCAGCAUUUUCAUGAGACCGUUAGAGCGCACGGUCUUGGAGGAGUACAUCAGGGAAUGCUUCUCUCUCACGCAUCUUCCAGCAUGUGGCCAGACCAGCAGGGGCCAUUAUAUGGCAAGGACAUCCAUUCAAAUCAAGCUGAGAGCCUUAGUGUGACUCAAGGACUCUUGUCGGGGCCCCAGGGAAACUCAAGGAUCUGAACAACUCACUCUUCAGCAGAUUCGGACAUUGGCUCCAAUGUUGGAAGAAGGUUUUUCUAAUGGAACAAGCCCCUAUUUCUAGUGACAUUGGUUUAUCUCCUUAAACCAGUCUUUCAUCAGGAAAAAAAUAUGGUGUUUUUAAAGAGGUCGAACAUUUGCCUGUUUUGGACAUCUUAAUAUCAGGCAAUCAAAGGUCAUUUUAGUGUAAUUAUUAAGGUUUAUUUCCUCAUCCGAACAAAAACAUGGAUUUGUUAUUAAACCCAGACCAACAUUCAUUUAACCUGUCUCUUUUCCAUCUUAGUUAUCAUUUAUUUUGGAAAGAGCAAAUAUGUGGUUACUUAAAAAUAAUAUACCAACCAAAUGUUAAGAGGGACUGGGUUUUUGUUUGCUUUCUUAACCUUUUGCGUGUAUUUAUCACAUAUGAAGAAUGAAAGUCAAUCCUGUAGUACUUACUAUGUGCCACUGUUCUAAGUGCUUUACAUGUGUCAAUUAUCUAAUCAUCACAAUACUCUAUGAGGUAUUAUUAGCCUCCUUUUCCAAAGAGAGAAUAUUAACGACAUAAACAGGGUUCUGAGUCCAUGGUCGUUUCUCAGCCUUCGGAGGUUAUGGCCGGGCCUCAGCUUCCUGAUGACCGGUUCAUUUGCAGAGUUGACAGUGACUUGUUUUAACACAUAGUUGGUAUGGUUCUUCCUCUUCCUGUUUCCUCCCUCUGACUUCUCCACAUCUGCCCUGAGAACUGCGCCACUUACAACAGCUUACUUGAGACUCCCUUAGUUAUUACGUUUGGUAACUUUACUUUCCUAUUCCUGCUUUUAUUUUUAUCCUGUUAAUUUCGUAUUCCAACUCCACCAGGAGUUAAGGCAAGACAAAAGGAGCAGGAAAGGACAACAGAAGAGGUGCUCUGAAAUCGCCUGGUUUAAAGCUUCAUACUCAGAGAACGUGGGGAAAGUAUACUGAAUAACUCAAUUGAAACAAAUAGAUAGUUGGUGAAAUGUUUUGCUAUUACUUUACUUUCUCCUUGUUUUUUUUUUUUUUUCUCAAUUGGUUUUACUAUUUUAUCAUAUUGUCUCCUGAAGACUCAAACCAUGACUGUUUUUAAUCACUUUGCUGGACCACGGAAAGUGUGUACAGUAGACCAAACAAGUUUUCUAUUAGAUUUUACACAUUGGUUUUUCCCAAAAGUCGUCACUGACAAGGCCUUCCCACAAGUAUCUAUUCCCUUCUUUGAACUCUCUUGGCACUCACACACACAGCCAGUAUCUCACCACCAAGCCCCUGUUUAUUAUCUUGGCUCGGAAUUGUUCUCUAUUCAUUUAAUUUACAUACAUCUUGGCUUCAGAACCAGGUUCCCAAAAAAGGGCUAUUCUUUUUCUUUGCAGAUUCUGCAGAGCCUGAUUUUGUAGGCCAGAUGAAUUAAUUUGUAGAGCUGAAUCAGGGAGAGCGCUCUAUGUAAAUGGCAUAUAUCCCUGAAGUCUUAUUGCUGAGCACAAGAGCACUGGAUUGAUGGGGACAGGGCCACAGAGAUGAAGUGUCACAGCGAGGGUAGGAGGAAAGUUGGUCUACCUUGGGCCAGACUUGCACGUGGGGGAAGAUAAUCCUAGGUGAGGACAGGAGCCAGGGUGGCUGCAAAGAUGAGAGCCAGAGUCCAGCUUGAGCCCUCUGUGGUUGUGAGACCACAGGAGGAAGACUGUCCAGAAUUUUGGAAGAUUCUAAAGUUACAGACCAGAAGUAAGAUUGGGUUUUCUCUAAACAAAAAAAGAGACAUUCUCUGUGACAUUUGUGGAGAAGAGUCCAGGAGAAACAUCUACACUGAGAAUGGAAAGCAAACCCCUAAGACACUAGAGGUGAAGAUGUUCAAAGACAAGCAUUGAUGUGGCUGAGUGACUUGCCAGGAAUCUUUGAUUGGACCAUUCUCACAACACUGAGCCCAGAAUCUCAUUUUUGUGGUUCAACAGCUCUCCAUCCAUUCUCUGCAGAUGGCCCUCCUCACCGUCAGCGUGUGUUUUGACCAUUCGUUCUUCAGUCUUUGGAAGCUCUGAGAAGUAUUGUUUAAGGAGGAUGGAUUUCUGCUGUGAGAGCAGAGUCGCACCAUGUGGACUCCCGAGCUUGGGAGAGGGCACCGUUGCAAUGAUGGCUACUCAGCG